CCUGUCUAAGGAACUGACAACACAACUCAAACCCGAGGGAAGAGGUGAUACUGUACAAGAAGAAGAAGAAUUACCAGAUUGUGAGAUAGUGUGGUGGUGGUAAAUUGAGAGAUACAAUUUGCCAGUAUGGGGAAUAUAUGUGGUUUGAAUUUAGACCUGGAUGGUGACGGAAAGGGAAAGGGACACGGACGUGGACGUAAACACAGCCGCGGUCAUGGUCAUGGUCGCAGAAAGUCUCGAUCCCGAUCACGAUCUCGAUCCCGAUCUCGAUCUCGAUCACCAGGGCGUGGUCAUAAGAAAGGACACCAUAAACAUUAGCACACACACGUCAAUGUAGACGUUUUUCCAGAAUCACGAUUGAUGUAUUUUUUUAGUUGGGUUUGGGGUUGCACUGUUCUUCUAGUUGAUAUUUAGACUCACUGACCAACCAUGUGUCAUAUUCUUGUUGAUGAUGGAUUACUGGAGGAAACAUACAACACUUGAUGAGCUCCGGGAAACUCUCGGACGUUGGGAAUAAUAUGUAAAUGAGCAGAGCCGUCACGUGUUCAAACUCUACCACGCGUCACACACGACUGUCUUGAACUACAAGUUACCAGUGGAUUCAAAGAAGUGACAAUUCAUGCUUUUGUGUUUGAUAUUUUUAAUUGAUCUUUUAUUUUAUAUUAUUUUCAAUUACUGUUAAAUAACAGAGUUUUUCGUGUUCCAUAUUUUUCCAAAUACAAGACAUGAAAUCCUGCAUAUCGUAAUCGGAUUUAUGUGUAUAUCAAUAUUUCACUUUAUAUGUCAAUCUAUUUUUCUCAGAAAGAUUCCUAUGAAUGCAUUUAUGACAUUAUAUGUGCCAGGCUAUCAGAAUGACAACGUGAUACCAGAUCACAUAUUACCCGCCAAGUGAAAUAAAUAUGAAUAUUUUCGAUUGAGAUACUAGUAUAGAAACAUGUCUAAAUUUAUCGAUCAAAAUUUAAUGUUCAUUUAAAACAUUGGUGUAGUAAUUUACAUGUUAAUGAACUAUAACAGAUAUGUACACUUGGUGUACUUUACAUAAUUACAAUUGUCCUGUAUUUGUUAAUGAACUAUAACAGAUAUGUACACUUGGUGUACUUUACAUAAUUACAAUUGUCCUGUAUUUGAUCAUCUUUUUAGUUAUGCAACUAUGCCUUUAUAAGUAAGGGCUGUACAUUUACAAUAAUGUCAGUCUGUAUUUGGUGUCUGUUGUGUGCGUGUCUCUUUCUAUGGUCUGAAACCAUAAAUUUGAACUCUCACCACAUCAAUGAAUAAAUUAUACGUUGUGUUGUCCAGCGAAA